rnacentral:tRNA from 1 species
GCUUAAAUAGUUUAAUAAAAACUUUAAUUUGUGGUAUUAAUGAUGCAGCUGUUAUGUUUUAAGUC